AGGACUAACGCUGGCGGCGUGCCUAACACAUGCAAGUCGAACGGGGUAGCAAUACCCAGUGGCAGACGGGUGAGUAACACGUGGUCAACCUACCUCUAUGUGGGGGAUAACUAGCCGAAAGGUUAGCUAAUACCGCAUACGAUCGCUUUGGGGCAUCCCUAGGCGAUGAAAGGAGCAAUCCGCAUAGAGAGGGGACUGCGUCCCAUUAGUUAGUUGGUGGGGUAACGGCCUACCAAGACUCCGAUGGGUAGCUGGCUUGAGAGAGCGACCAGCCACACUGGAACUGAGACACGGUCCAGACUCCUAUGGGAGGCAGCAGUGAGGAAUUUUCCGCAAUGGGCGAAAGCCUGACGGAGCGACGCCGCGUGUGGGAAGAAGGCCUUCGGGUCGUAAACCACUGUCGAAGGGGACGAUAAUGACGGUACCCUUGGAGGAAGCCCGGCUAACUACGUGCCAGCAGCCGC
rnacentral:rRNA from 1 species